rnacentral:rRNA from 1 species
GACGAACGCUGGCGGCGUGCUUAACACAUGCGAGUCGAACGGAAAGGCCCUGCUUUUGUGGGGUGCUCGAGUGGCGAACGGGUGAGUAACACGUGAGUAACCUGCCCUUGACUUUGGGAUAACUUCAGGAAACUGGGGCUAAUACCGGAUAGGAGCUCCUGCUGCAUGGUGGGGGUUGGAAAGUUUCGGCGGUUGGGGAUGGACUCGCGGCUUAUCAGCUUGUUGGUGGGGUAGUGGCUUACCAAGGCUUUGACGGGUAGCCGGCCUGAGAGGGUGACCGGCCACAUUGGGACUGAGAUACGGCCCAGACUCCUACGGGAGGCAGCAGUGGGGAAUAUUGCACAAUGGGCGGAAGCCUGAUGCAGCAACGCCGCGUGCGGGAUGACGGCCUUCGGGUUGUAAACCGCUUUCGCCUGUGACGAAGCGUGAGUGACGGUAAUGGGUAAACAAGCACCGGCUAACUACGUG